UGUCAGUUAAUUUGGGAAUGGUGACUAUCUUACUCAAUGUGUGAGAUUGUGUGUGUUAAAAGAGAUUGGGCAUCUACAGAGCCACGGAAAAUCCCCAAGUCCAGUUUUGAUUUUCCACUCUUUUCAUUUUUUUUUCCUUGCAGAUUCGUGAAAAGGAUUGGGAGUACAAAGUGAAGCUUUUCCACUAUAUACAAGAGCAGGAAAUGGAAAUCGAAGGGUUGGAAGCAAAUUCUUGCGGAUGACUUCAAAGAAAUACAUUCGGGUGAGAGCGGGUUAAAUACUUCCCAGCGGUGUUUCCAAAUAAAAGUAUCUCCAGUGGUAGGCAUCUCCUUCUCUUGCUGUUUGCAUUCUACUGGCAUAAUAUUGUUAUAACAGCAUCAUGUUAGGUUGAAAAAGAGUCUUCCUCGGUACAACUUUUCAACUCUCAAUCUUAAUCUUUUAUUCUC